rnacentral:rRNA from 1 species
CCUACGGGUGGCAGCAGUGGGGAAUAUUGCGCAAUGGGCGAAAGCCUGACGCAGCGACGCCGCGUGAGGGAUGAAGGUCUUCGGAUCGUAAACCUCUGUCAGCAGGGAAGAAAGGUCAGGGAGCUAAUCAGCAGUGAAUGGACGGUACCGGCAAAGGAAGCACCGGCUAACUCCGUGCCAGCAGCCGCGGUAAUACGGAGGGGGCGAGCGUUAAGCGGAAUUACUGGGCGUACAGCGCGCGUAGGCGGUAUGUCAAGUCAAGGGUGAAAUCCCCGCGCUCAACGUGGGAACUGCCUUUGAAACUGGCAAACUGGAGUGUGUUAGAGGCUAGUGGAAUUCCAGGUGUA